CGCAGCCGCGGUAAAACGGAGGAUCCAAGCGUUAUCCGGAAUCAUUGGGUUUAAAGGGUCCGUAGGCGGUCUUGUAAGUCAGUGGUGAAAGCCCAUCGCUCAACGGUGGAACGGCCAUUGAUACUGCAGGACUUGAAUUAUUGGGAAGUAACUAGAAUAUGUAGUGUAGCGGUGAAAUGCUUAGAGAUUACAUGGAAUACCAAUUGCGAAGGCAGGUUACUACCAAUUGAUUGACGCUGAUGGACGAAAGCGUGGGUAGCGAACAGGAUUAGAUACCCCCGUAGUCCCUGUCUCUUAUACA
rnacentral:rRNA from 1 species